rfam:Roseburia sp. CAG:100 genomic scaffold, scf19
AUUAACCGCUAGGGGAGCACAUCGCUGAGACUGAGUUCUGUACGGACUCUGACCCUUACUACUUGAACCGGAUAAUACCGGCGGAAGGAAGCAGGAAUUUACAUAG